AUGUGCUGCCAGGAAGACCACUUUUGUGACCAGCCCUUCCACCAGAACUGGCUUUCCCGUGUUGACAUACUGAUCUGCCACAUUAUGGUCAGGUUUCUGUUAGAGACCAACACAUGCAGAAGUCAUGCUAUACAUGCGGAGCCAAAAGUGAUAGUGGUGAAUACUUAAAACAUUUCAAGCACAGGUAAGUCAGAAAAAUUGCAGUUGCAUUUGUUUGAAAUGAAGUCACCCUGAACUAUAAAGUGGAAAAGGAGCAAAAGCUCAAUUCUUAUUUUCAGUCCCAAGGCAGCCUUCCCCAGUCUGAUGCCCUACAAUUUGUAACUGCAUUGCUUAAUUGUGACACUACUGUAUUGUAAAGAAAGAAAAGAAAAAAAUACCAAAAGAUAAUAGAGCCGUGAUAUGACGUGACAGGGCUUCUAAUGUUCAUAUUACUUAGAAAAGCCCCGCUAAUAUAAGCCAAGAAAUGCAGUCCAAGAUGUUUCAGUUUUAUCACUUUUGACUUUAAAAUUAUCAUUAAAGGCAGCCUGUUAGCGUAUAUGGCAUCAGUCUCAUUUUGAUUUUUUAAAAAUAAAAUUUAUUAUGGCUUUUAUGAUGGCUGUCAAAUAGAUCAGAAUCAGAGACAAGUGAUUGGAAGGUACCAGCCAUCAUUUUCACUGUAACUUCCUCUUUCUCUAAAAUGCUGUGAUGUACAGCACACAAUCCAAAAAUGAACAAAAACAUAUGCACAAGCCCCCAAAUAGCCCAGUCAAACAAUGAAGCAUGGCCCCUAAAGGAUGGGAGACCUAUAUUUUAUCCUAUCUCCUCUAAACCUGUGAACAGAUGUGCUUUUAAACCACAUUUUAUCAGACUACCUUCUAUACAGAUGUAGACUGGAAAGAAGCCCUUAUAACUCAAUAGCACUCAUUAACCAGUGAACAGAUGCAAGACUGGGUACAAAGUUUAUUACCUCCCUGAAAUAUUUCUUUUUACCUUCUUCACUGAAUACUGAGCAUAAGUGGUAGUAUCCAACUGCUUUAACAGUAUCAAGUUGUCAGCCUGUUUAACAAACUAUUUUUACAUCCUCCCUCCUUGCUUUUUAAUUAAGGUAGGCAAACUCUGAUGUCUUUGAAACAUAAAACAGAUAUAGAAUCAGCCAGAGUAUGCAUGAUCUAUUUUAGAAUCUAAAAGUCUAUUUAAUUUAAAGCUACAUUAGAGCAUUGAAACAAACACUCACCAUGAAUCACAUCUAGUUAUUUUGGGUUAUUUUUGUGAUCACAAUGAUUUCAUUUAGAAAGGUAAUAAUUUAAAACCAGGACAUUGACAAGCUGGAACAUGUCCAGAGGAAGGGAACCAUGAUGGUCUAGAAACCAUAUAAGGAACAACUGAAAGAGUUGGUUAUGUUUAGCACAGAAUAAAGAAGAACGAGAAGUGACAUGACAGCCGUCUUUUAAAGGGUUGGCUCAUAAAAAAAUGAACUUCCCUUUUGCUGUUCCAAGAUGGGAUCAAACAAAUGGAUUCGAAGUACCAAAAAAAGAGAUUUUAAACAGACACAAGGAAGCCAUGGAAUAUCUUUCAUUGGAGGUUAGAUGUUAGUGGUGGAUUACUGUACUGACAGGGGAUUAGACUAGGUGGCCCAUGGGGUCCCUUCCAACUCCAUCAUUCUAUGAUUCUUCAGAUUUAAUUGCUUGCUUGAUGGGAAGAAAGAAAAAAAAGAAACUUUGCUGCUGUGAAUCUGGAUGACAUUGGAUGUAACAAGCCAAAUUGAGUAACUACUACAAAUGAAAUUCUACACUUGUAAAUCUAGCCAACAAUGUAUUGCUUAGUAUUCUAUGCAUUAAUAUUUUCUCAGGGAAAAUAAACCAUUAUCAUAGUACUACGGGAGCAUCUGCUUUCAUUUCACCCCAAUUAUUUGAAUGGCAUGUUAUCUGUAGCAAAGGCAGCCCUUUGUUACCCCUUGAAAAGUAAUAAGGAACCUGGAGUUAUUGAAUUGACUGGGAUGGAUGUAUGCAUAUAUGUGCAUAUGUGUGCUUACAUGUAGAAUGAAUUGUCCUUUUGGGAAAGAUUUUGGGAAAGAUAUUGGAUGAAAUUGCCACUGCCUCCUUUCAAUGCUGUGCUUCCUUUGUCUCUCUAGUUCACACUUAUCAAGUAGGUCUUUGAGACAAUCCACAUAGCCUGCAGGGGUCCUAGGAGUUGGAAUUCAACAAUGCUCUGCACAAGCAACACUGCCUCAUAGUUGUGCUGGAAAAAUUAGUAGAUAGUGAUUAAGGAAGCUUACAGAGAAGUCUGGGUCCUCUUUUCCUUUUAUCAUUAUAUGUCCUGCCCCCUUUGUGAGUAACCUAGACAUAGGACCUCAUCACAUUGAGGUCACCUAUCUGGGCAAUAAUGGGGGAAUUUGCCAUGGAUCGUGGUGAAUCUGGUAUGGGGCGUGGGAAGCACGUUGCCCUAUGCCUCACAUAGCCUGCAUUGGCCCUCACCUCAACCCAUGGGGGGGGGGGGGGAAGUCGCCACCCAGCUUCCCUCUUCUUGUUGACUAUGCAACAUGAGAAACCUCCUGUGAUGCCGAUGCUGCCUCUUUCAAUACUUGGACCUCACUUUAAGUGUGGAGCCCUGCUGAAAUAGAUUGACAUCAUGUGAUGGGAUCUGGCAGCCUCAGUGCCUGAAAAGAGGUCCAAGUGUCAUAGGAUGGGCAAUUUUGCCUGUCUGAUGAGGUCCUAAUAAUCUCAGGCUUAGCCCACCUCUUCCUUGUUUUCUAUUCCUUCCCUGGAGCUUUCUGUAGUCAGGCUAAGUAGGACUAGCAACUCCUUUUGAUUCUAUUACUAAAUGGAGUUCACUUAAUAAAGAUUACGUUAAACUUUAGCUGCCAGUCUCCUUGCUCCUUGAAUGCCAUCUCACACUCUUUCAGCUGUAAGUUUACUCUGCUAAAUUAUCCCCUGGAGCCACUGAGGGGCAUCAGUCACCUAAAAGAUGGCACUUAUUCAGCAACAUUACUGGAUUAAUUGUAUGCAGGACUGUGUUAAUGAGAAAAGGAUUAGUCAAACCAGACAGUCAGGUUCAGUGAUCUAUGGGUGUAUAUGCUGACUCAGGCCAGGCUAUGGGCUGGAGACAACUUUGGUUGACUUGGUGGACAACCUGAUCCAGGAUUUGGACAUGGAACGUUUUGCUGUUGAUUGCUUGGCAGCUUUUAGAGGCGCUGCUUUAUACUGACUAUAUUCCUUGCUAAAUGAGACAGUAUGAAAAGUGAUACUGCAGGAUCUCUGUUUGAUUCCUUGCCUGUAGGUCUGUGAGGUCCCUCCAGAUUUCAUUUGGUUUCCCCAUCUGGUGUUUCUCAGACUAUUUGGUGCAGGAACUCACUAGAUAGACUAAACUACAGCAGAAACAACAUCUGAUACAAAAUGUAGGAUUAUGGCUCUAACACGGUCACUUUUUAUUAUUAACUGUAUGAUUUUAAAAAUAUCUGUUGCCUGACAAAAAGCCAGGGGAGUUUCAAAAGUUUGCACAAAGUGUAUUGUGUAUUUAGGUUGGCCAAUAAAAAUAUUGCUCUUUUGUGGGUUUUAUACCACUUUAAAGAUGAUACUAAACAACCAUAUUGCUCUCCUUUCUACCUAUCCCAGGGAAGCCGUUUGAGUUUUGAACCAAUGUCAGAUAUCGUCCUGACAAGAGAGAAGAUGGAGCACGUCAAGAGAUGCAAAGUCCUAAAUCAUGAUAUAAAGUCUUAUGUCUAUUAAUUCCACACUGACUAAAAAUUAAAUAUAGCAACCAUAUUAACCCAGAAUAAUAGAUAUGGAAAGUAAAAUGCAACCCUCAGUCACAAUAAAUUAACCUUGCUUUGGCAAUUGGUACGUAUGAAGUGUAUUAUGAAUAAAAAGUUGCUUUGGAACAGAUUGAUGUGUCUGCCUCUGUCAUGAUGAAAUGAAUCCUUCUGCUAGGUGACUGAUAGGAUUACAACAAUGCUCUGGAAAGGGAACUGAAUGGAUAUUAAUCUACUCAAAGGUCCAAGUCUCCAUUUAUUGUGAAAUGCAGUACAGGCUGUAAUCUAGCAUGGCUUAGUGAGGCGUGAACACACAAGUCUUCCAGGCUGAAUUUAAGUUCUCCUCUCUGUCACUGGCUAGUGCACCAACAAUCAAGUGCAGAAAAGCUUGUGACAGCCCCAUAUAAUGUGAAAACUCCUUUGGCAUCAGAAUAAUCUGACAGUUUGCUUGCGAUAGAGACUACUGAUUAUUAUCCCAUAGCAUAGAAAUUCCAUACAAUUCACUCCAUAACUGCACUAAAACUGAAAUUAGAAUAUGGUUUGUUCUAUAAGUUAAAAUGCAAUUUGGUGGAAGGUAUUUUUUUAUGUCAGGAGUGACUUGAUAAACUGUAAGCCACUUCUGGUGUGAGAGAAUUGGCCAUCUGCAAGGAUGUUGCCCAGGGGAUGCCCAGAUGUUUGAUAUUUUACCAUCCUUGUGUAAGGCUUCUCUCAUGUCCCUGCAUGGAGACGGAGCUGAUGGAAGCUCAUCUCUGCUCUCUGUGGGCUGGAUUCAAACCAGCAACCUUCAGGUCAGCAAC
rnacentral:lncRNA from 1 species